rnacentral:rRNA from 1 species
CGGCGUGCCUAACACAUGCAAGUCGAGCGGGGACAUGCGACGGAUUGAAGUUUCGGAUGGAAAUGAAGAUGUAUGUUCUAGCGGCGGACGGGUGAGUAACGCGUGAGCAACCUGUCCUUCACAGGGGGAUAACACAGCGAAAGUUGUACUAAUACCGCAUAAGACCACGGUAGGACAUCCUGCAGGGGUCAAAGGAGCAAUCCGGUGAGGGGUGGGCUCGCGUCCGAUUAGAUAGUUGGUGAGGUAACGGCCCACCAAGUCAACGAUCGGUAGCCGACCUGAGAGGGUGAUCGGCCACAUUGGGACUGAGACACGGCCCAAACUCCUACGGGAGGCAGCAGUGGGGAAUAUUGGGCAAUGGGGGGAACCCUGACCCAGCAACGCCGCGUGAGGGAAGAAGGUUUUCGGAUCGUAAACCUCUGUCCUAUGUGAAGAGGAAGAGACGGUAGCAUAGGAGGAAGCCCCGGCUAACUACGUGCCAGCCGCUGC